rnacentral:misc_RNA from 1 species
UUCAUUGGUUGAACUCUCGCGUGCUUGCUACCGCGUUUCCAUAAGAAGUGUAUUCGAUUUUAGUCAGGGAUUGAACUUUUCCGGUGGUUUUCGCGCGGAUUUUCGUCACCUUUGUUGAGACUGUGGUCCGAUUCGGAAGUGCAACAUUAGAGCUAUGAAGCGUAAAAGGUUUUUUUUUUACGCGCCCGCGAAAGCGGAUCGCCAGACACCAGACGUUCCAGGAGUUUUAUAUCGUUGAAAAUAUCCUAGCAUAUGACAGGGGACGAAGACAGUACCUCAUCAAA